ACUCCUCAUAUAAUCAGAUACCCUUUAGAGUUAGAAAAGUGAUUUGAAAUUAUUUUCGUAAUUAUUAUAAAUUAUAAUAAUAUUUUUCAAUUGUAAUAGUGUAGGUUUUCUACUUAAAUAACUCUAUAUAUAUUAUAAUAUUUAUUACCCAUCAAUACAGGAGGUAAUAUUUUCACACAACAAUACAAGGAGUUAUAUUACAAUAUACACUAGAAUGUAGCCUACACAAUAUGUGCUUGUGAUUAAAAAGAAAAAAAGGGUUUAGGAGAUGGAAGGAAGAAUAGAAAAAUAAAAUCAACAAAAUUUUGUUUAUGCGAAAUUACAUUACUGCUUAUGUUUUUAUUUUGUGAUAAAAUACCAAAUUGUCUCUCCACUUGUUUUUUGUUGACAAAAAGAGUUUUGUUAAUAUGUAGGAAUUAUACACAAAUUACAAUUAGAAAUAUAUACCCUACAAUACAUAUAAUAAUUACGAAUUAAUUUCCUCUAGUCUAACAUUUCUCAAGUAGCGCUAUUAUUGUAGCAAAUAUUCACAUUAUAUUGAUAUCGUCCCAAGCUGCUAUUAUCCAACAUAUCGGUAACUAGUAUCAUAUAAUCUUGGUAUGACAUAAAUAAAGUUUAUUACGAUAAUCGAUUUGCUACGGUAAUAGUGUUAAAUAAAAAGAUUGAACAUUGAGAAGUAGAAAUUGUAAACAAUUUUGAAUGGUAUAAAUCAAAUCAAAUGUUAUUAACUGCAAAGAAUCUUGAGCAAAGAUAAUAAAAUUCCUGAGAAAGUGGUUCGACAUCGGCAUACUGGUCGCACUUGCCUUCCUUCAUGAGCUUCUCAAUGUACUUCAUCCAUGUGGUGCAGUCGUUGGUUGUGUGCCCCAGAACUCUAUGGAAUGCACAGAACUUUGUCUAGUCCAUCUUGGAGGUGUCUCCUGUGAAGCCAAAAAUAAUCACAAAGCGACACGUGGAUUUUUGGGUGAAGAUGACAAAUUUACCCUCGAGGCAUACCGGGUCUCCUACACGCGAGCAAUGGAGAAUCAUCCAUCAACCAAAUCAGGAGUACCCAAAAUAGGUAACAAGUUCAAAUUUGUCUCAUCCAUCCUCAUUCCAUAACCUCCAAAAACCUCCAAAAACAUUUCUUUUAUUAUGAUAAUUAGCCAAUUAAUAUAUUUAUACCUAAUUAAUAUAUUAAUUGCUAAUUGAAUCACCAAAUAACACCUCAUUCCCUAUAUAUAUGACCCUAUUUCUUCUAAAAAGCUAAGUUGAUACUCUUGCAAAACUCCCAAAAAUCCUCUAAACAUUUUUUCUCUCUAAAUUCUAACUUUGGCAUCGGAGGUUCUUCGGCCAAAGCCCCCCCCAUUCAUCGUGGGCGCAUGAGGUUCUUGGCCUUGACCAAAGGUGUUGAUUGUUUUGUAGGUGCAAUUUUAUCCAAGAAGAAGAAGGCGGAAAUUUGCAUCCACAAGUUGGUGCUUUCAUUGAGAGUUGAGAUUCACACUCGUAGAAGACUUUCGCACAAAAAGGUUUUUUCUCUAUUUUCUCUAUUUACUAGUUCAUUUGUAUUUUUCAUACGUUCUUAUUAUUAGAAAUUUUUAUUUGCAAAG
rnacentral:lncRNA from 1 species